CUGCAACUUAGUUUAUAUAGAACAAUCAACUUGCACUUGAUAAGAGAACCCUCAGUGGC
rnacentral:tRNA from 1 species